GACGAACGCUGGCGGCGUGCUUAACACAUGCCAGUCGAACGGAAAGGCCCUGCUUUUGUGGGGUGCUCGAGUGGCGAACGGGUGAGUAACACGUGAGUAACCUGCCCUUGACUUUGGGAUAACUUCAGGAAACUGGGGCUAAUACCGGAUAGGAGCUCCUGCUGCAUGGUGGGGGUUGGAAAGUUUCGGCGGUUGGGGAUGGACUCGCGGCUUAUCAGCUUGUUGGUGGGGUAGUGGCUUACCAAGGCUUUGACGGGUAGCCGGCCUGAGAGGGUGACCGGCCACAGUGUGACUGAGAUACGGCCCAGACUCCUACGGGAGGCAGCAGUGGGGAAUAUUGCACAAUGGGCGGAAGCCUGAUGCAGCAACGCCGCGUGCGGGAUGACGGCCUUCGGGUUGUAAACCGCUUUCGCCUGUGACGAGGCGUGAGUGACGGUAAUGGGUAAAGAAGCACCGGCUAACUACGUG
rnacentral:rRNA from 1 species